ensembl:lncRNA
AAUCAGUCCUCUGUGCUGACUGAACUGAAAGUGAAUAUCUGCUUAUCAUUAAUCAUCUUUAUAAUGAGUCACAUGACUGAGGUCAGACACGCACAAAUGCACACGUGUUUAUUUUUUAUUUUUUAAAAAGCACCAGAGCAUCAAGUGUACAGCUGUUUAUUUUUAUAUGGUGAGUUAUCACAGUCAAAGCAGACAGCUUGGAAUAAAUUAUCAGCACCACACACACACACACACACACACACACACACACACACACACACACACACACACACACACACACACACACACACACACACACAGGAAAAGCUUUGUAACUGGCUGGUUCGGAGCUCAUAAUCAUAUAUUUCACAGCAUAUUUUGUCCCCCUUCAGUUUGGAGAUGUCCUGGUAGGUGUGUCUUUGGUGUUCAAGGCUUGCUUUAGCUGCCUGUGUAACAGAUAAAAUUCACAGGCAACUUAAAACAAGCCUCGAAAGCCAGACUGAAUCCACUGGAGAAGUGAAAGGAAGAGAAAUGGAUGCAUAAACGUCCACCUGUGCUCAGUCUGAGGACAGAAAUCCACUGGAGGAACAUUCAAACUUAAAAGUAAAAAUAAAAAAGAGUAAAAAAAAGUCAUUUAUCUGAGCUAGAGCACAUAAUCUAUAAUAUAAAAAGCAAAGUUAGCAUCAGCCGGUAGCCAGGUGGUGUCAUUUCUCACUUGUAAACCUAAAGAGUCAAAAGUGUCACUGUUAGCAAACCCCACAAUAACCACCGGACUCAAUUUGUUACUUGACAACUUUAAAUAUUCAAAUCGAAUGAAGUAACUUCAUAUUUUAAGCUGUAAUUCUAAACCACAGACUAAUCAACCCUGCAAACAUUACGAAAAGCUGUAACAAUGAAGUUUUCUCUGUAAAGUCUCGAGCUUACCUUGGUGCUCUGAGCUGUGCAGCUGUAACUUUCUUGUCUACUCAAGUGUCACUCCUCUGUAAUCAGCGCUGCAGCGGCUUUAAUCAGUCUGCAGAGGAAUGUAUAUUUGAGAAAGGUGUGUGCCGCGUGGUUACACAUUUAUAUAAAGAUCCUGUUUUUUG